rnacentral:rRNA from 1 species
UACGAAGGGCGCUAGCGUUGUUCGGAAUCACUGGGCGUAAAGCGCUCGUAGGCGGAUUGGUAAGUCAGGGGUGAAAUCCCGGAGCUCAACUUCGGAACUGCCUUUGAUACAGCACGUCUUGAGUCCGGAAGAGGUGGGUGGAAUUCCUAGUGUAGAGGUGAAAUUCGUAGAUAUUAGGAAGAACACCGGUGGCGAAGGCGGCCCACUGGUCCGGUACUGACGCUGAGGUGCGAAAGCGUGGGGAGCAAACAGG